rnacentral:misc_RNA from 1 species
UCAAACUUGGUCAUUUAGAGGAAGUAAAAGUCGUAACAAGGUUUCCGUAGGUGAACCUGCGGAAGGAUCAUUAACGAAUAGAUUCGGUGGGUUGUUGCUGGCCUUCACUUUGGCAUGUGCACACCUGUCGUCUUUAUUUUCUUUCCACCUGUGCACCCUUUGUAGGCUUGAGCAGCUUUAUGUGACCUUUUAUGUGGUCAGUGUGUUGGGGACUGCUUAACAUCUUUCCUCUACCGUUCAAGUCUAUGUUCUACACUAUACACCUAUAAUUGAACAUAGAAUGUAUCUAUGGGCCUAUGUGUGCCUAUAUAAACAUUAUACAACUUUCAGCAACGGAUCUCUUGGCUCUCGCAUCGAUGAAGAACGCAGC